CCUACGGGCGGCAGCAGUGGGGAAUAUUGCACAAUGGGGGAAACCCUGAUGCAGCGACGCCGCGUGAGUGAAGAAGUAAUUCGUUAUGUAAAGCUCUAUCAGCAGGGAAGAAAAUGACGGUACCUGAGUAAGAAGCCCCGGCUAACUACGUGCCAGCAGCCGCGGUAAUACGUAGGGGGCAAGCGUUAUCCGGAUUUACUGGGUGUAAAGGGAGCGUAGACGGCAGUGCAAGUCUGGAGUGAAAGGCGGGGGCUCAACCCCCGGACUGCUCUGGAAACUGUACGGCUGGAGUGCAGGAGAGGUAAGUGGAAUUCCUAGUGUAGCGGUGAAAUGCGUAGAUAUUAGGAGGAACACCAGUGGCGAAGGCGACUAGCUGGCUGUACAUUGACGCUGAGGCUCGAAAGCAUGGGGAUCAAACAGGAUUAGAUACCCCAGUAGUC
rnacentral:rRNA from 1 species